UUGAAGCUGUGACACGGUUGGAGGAGGAAGCCUCUCUUCCUUUCUCUUUGGCCCCUGUCUUUGAAUCAGCAGCUGAACAGUCAAACUUGUAGAUCACGAUACUUCAUUUCCCUGAUUUAGUGUAGUUUCACUUUAAAAUAUGUGAAAAUGUUAAGUUGUGUUCACCGUCAUAGCUGCAUCGCUACUGAUGAAGUUCUCUAAAGGAUGCUAACCGUUAUUAACUGAUCCCUGUGCAGGUGACUAUUGUCUCAUCUAAGGGGUCUCUGGUUUUUGUGUCCAGCCACCCUCUGAUGUUGUACACAGGACCUGGGAUGGGUGACGGGAGAGGAUGGGUCAAUGGUGAGAAAUAAUACCUUUAACAUGGAGAUUAAUAUCAGGUGUCAUGAAGCGACAUGUAUUAGCUGUUAAAAAAGGAUCAAAAAUGUUUCAAAUAAACAGACUGGAGCACUUAACCACUCCAGCGUAGUGCACCAGCUCGGAGUGGCCUCGUAUUUACGUUUCUUGUCAGAGCCGUGGCUUGAUGAAGUGGGAGAACUUGCCCACGUGGUUGUCAUCAGCUGGUGUUAAAGCUGACAUCAGUGGCCUUUGGAAACAUGCAUUCUUCCUCCCGGAUGGAUCAGUAUACUGUAUGCCCAUGGACUGCAGGAAACCAAACGAGAGGCAGUAUACUGUAUGCCCAUGGACUGCAGGAAACAAACGAGAGGCAGUAUACUGUAUUGCCCAUGGACUGCAGGAAAAACAAACGAGAGCGCAGUAUACGUAUGACCAUGGACUGCCGAUACAAACGAGAGGUUACUGUAUGCCCAUGGAACUGCCGGAAACAAACGAAGGCAGUAUACUGUAUGCCCAUGGACUGCAGGAAACACGAGAGGCAGUAUACUGUAUGCCCAUGGACUGCAGGAAACAAACGAGCGGCAGUAUACGUAGCCCAUGGACUGCAGGAAAAGCGAGAGUAAUACACAGAAAUCAAUAACUCUUCACAGGCAAAAUGUACCGGUCCUCUGCUCUAGCCCCUUAUUUGAAUGGCUGAAACAACAGACACAUACCUUUCUCUAUGAGGUUGAUACAGUUGUAGAUCCAAGCCAAAAUCGAUGAGGUCAAUACCCUCC
rnacentral:lncRNA from 1 species